rnacentral:rRNA from 1 species
CCUACGGGAGGCAGCAGUAAGGAAUAUUGGUCAAUGGACGCAAGUCUGAACCAGCCAUGCCGCGUGAAGGAUUAAGGCCCUCUGGGUUGUAAACUUCUUUUAUAGGGGACGAAAAAAGGGCAUUCUUGCUCACUUGACGGUACCCUAGGAAUAAGCACCGGCUAACUCCGUGCCAGCAGCCGCGGUAAUACGGAGGGUGCAAGCGUUAUCCGGAUUUACUGGGUUUAAAGGGUGCGUAGGUGGGUUGGUAAGUCAGUGGUGAAAUCUUCGAGCUUAACUCGGAAACUGCCAUUGAUACUAUCAAUCUUGAAUCAUCUAGAGGUAAGCGGAAUAUGUCAUGUAGCGGUGAAAUGCUUAGAUAUGACAUAGAACACCAAUUGCGAAGGCAGCUUACUAUGGAUGCAUUGACACUGAGGCACGAAAGCGUGGGGAUCAAACAGGAUUAGAUACCCUGGUAGUCCACGCCCUAAACGAUGGAUACUCGACAUUUGUGAUAUACCAAUAAGUGUNUGAGAGAAGANAUAAGUAUACCACCNCGGAGACGACCGCGAGUAGUAACGACAANAGAGUAGAGCGNGAGAGAGCGACGGACGACGACGAGGGAGGAGG